UACGUAGGGGGGCAAGCGUUGUCCGGAUUUAUUGGGCGUAAAGAGCGUGUAGGCGGCCAGGUAGGUCUGCUGUGAAAACUCGAGGCUCAACCUCGAGACGUCGGCGGAAACCAUCUGGCUAGAGUCCGGAAGAGGAGAGUGGAAUUCCUGGUGUAGCGGUGAAAUGCGCAGAUAUCAGGAAGAACACCCGUGGCGAAGGCGGCUCUCUGGGGACGGUACUGACGCUGAGACGCGAAAGCGUGGGGAGCGAACAGG
rnacentral:rRNA from 1 species